CAAAAUGUCAUUUUUGUUGUAGUAGUUCAUCAUUAAAUUCCCAGAAAAUAUAAAUUCAUUUGCGAAGAAAGUGAGAAUAUUGUCAAAAGGAUAAAUAUUUUACAAAGUAACAAUAAAAUAUUGAACAUGAUCACCACAAGCAAGCUAAAGAAAACACAAGAAAAUUAUAUUGAACUCUUUAAAACACGACUGCCACUAAAUCGUGUAACACUGCAUCACCCGCUAUGGUCAUGAUAAGAGAGCACUCUAAUGUUUCUACUCAAUUUUGACAAGCAAAACGAGGAAUACUCGGAAACUCCACCUCGAUAAACCUCCUCCUUUUGGUCAUACCAACAAAAUAGCUUUAUUUUUAUUCUAGCUCAUCCUGACAUACAAGACAAAGAAACAAAAUUUAAUGUAUCAAAGUCUAUAUAAUUGUUGACACUAAUCAUCAAUGAAUGCUACCAAUUUAAACUUGUACAGACACAAAGUAUUAGUAAUUAUUACUUUUAUACAUGUUUAUCACAAUAGAGAGAGAUAUAUACUUGACGCAUGCUUGUGCAAAAUAAUCCUAACAUCUUGAAUUAUGAAUCACUUUGGUUCGAAAACUCGUAUCAAAGUCUAUAGUAUUGUUGACACUCAUCAUCAAUGAAUGCUACCAAUUUAAACUUGUACAGACACAAAGUAUUAGUAAUUAUUACUUUUAUAGACGUUUAUCACAAUAGAGAGAGAUAUAUACUUGACGCAUACUUGUGCGAAAUAAUCCUAACAUCUUGAAUUAUGAAUCACUUUGGUUCGAAAACUCUUAUCCCAUAUAUUAAAUUUGGUAAGC
rnacentral:lncRNA from 1 species